GACUUGUUGAAAUCAGCAUACAGUCCUGCCAUUGUCAGAAAAGUACAGUACUUAUGAUCACAUGUGUUUGGGAAAAAGAUGACUAAAGAGGCAUCUGGCAAGUUCUUCAGGAUGAUGCCUUCUACAGGAGGGCAUUGUUUUCAUAGGAGAUGAGUUCCACUGGGAUGCUGACACUAAAUAUACUCCAGAGAGCCAAGAUAUGUGCACAGACAGGCAACUAGCAUAGCUGUUAUCCCAGGAACUGAUUGGAAACUGACGCAGAGACCCACAGCCAAACAUUAAAUGGAGCUUUGGGAAUUCAGUGGAAGAGGGAUGGAGGACUGAAGGAACCAUUUGGGUCAAAGGUACCACAAGAAAACCUACAGAAUCAACUAAUCUGAGUCUCCAGUCUCAUAGAGAAUGAACUGUGAACCAGAAAGCAUACACAGGAUGGACUUAGGCCCUCUGCAAACACAUAACAACUGUGCAGCUGGAUCUCUAUGUGAGACUCAGAAAGAAGCAGCAGGAGCUGUCUCUAAUUGCAUAGCCUGCCUUUGGAUCCCUUUCUUUUGCCGGGCUGACUUGUCUAACCUCACUAAAAGAAGAUGCACUUACCUUAGUCUUACUUAGUCAAACUUCUAUUCCACGGCUGUUUGAUAUCCAUGGGAAGCCUCCCCUUUCUUCAGGAGAAGGGGAAGGGUGGAUGAAAUAGGAAGGGGAGGUAAGGGAAUAA
rnacentral:sRNA from 1 species